GGACUGUAGCUCAGAGGUAAAGCGCUUGCCUGGCAUGCGUGAGGCACUGGGUUCAAUCUUCAGCACCA
rnacentral:tRNA from 1 species